UACGGAGGGUGCGAGCGUUGUCCGGAAUCACUGGGCGUAAAGGGCGCGUAGGCGGCGCGGGGAGUCAACGGUGAAAGCUCGGCGCUCAACGCCGAGUCGGCCGUCGAUACUCCCCGUGCUCGAGCACUGUAGAGGCAGGUGGAAUUCCGGGGUGUAGCGGUGGAAUGGCGUAGAGAGUCCGGAAGAACACCGGUGGCGAAGGCGGUUAGCUGGGCAGUUGCUGGACACUGGAGGCGCGACAGCGUGGGGAGCAAACAGGG
rnacentral:rRNA from 1 species